rnacentral:rRNA from 1 species
AACGAACGCUGGCGGCAUGCCUAACACAUGCAAGUCGAACGAGACCUUCGGGUCUGGUGGCGCACGGGUGCGUAACGCGGGGGAACCUGCCCUUAGGUUCGGAAUAACUCCCCGAAAGGGGUGCUAAUACCGGCUAAUGUCUUCGGACCAAAGAUUUAUCGCCUUUGGAUGGGCCCGCGUUGGAUUGGCUAGUUGGUAGGGUAAAAGCCUACCAAGGCGACGAGCCAUAGCUGGUCUGAGAGGAUGAUCAGCCACACUGGGACUGAGACACGGCCCAGACUCCUACGGGAGGCAGCAGUGGGGAAUAUUGGACAAUGGGCGAAAGCCUGAUCCAGCAAUGCCGCGUGAGUGAUGAAGGCCUUAGGGUUGUAAAGCUCUUUUACCCGGGAUGAUAAUGACAGUACCGGGAGAAUAAGCUCCGGCUAACUCCGUG